rnacentral:rRNA from 1 species
UACGUAGGGGGCAAGCGUUGUCCGGAAUCAUUGGGCGUAAAGCGCGUGUAGGCGGCUCGGUAAGUCCGCUCUGAAAGUCCGGGGCUCAACCCCGGGAGGCGGGUGGAUACUGUCGAGCUCGAGUCCGGAAGAGGCGAGUGGAAUUCCUGGUGUAGCGGUGACAUGCGCAGAUAUCAGGAGGAACACCGAUGGCGAAGGCAGCUCGCUGGGACGUGACUGACGCUGAGACGCGAAGGCGUGGGGAGCAAACAGG